rnacentral:tRNA from 1 species
GGGGAUUUAGCUCAGUGGUAGAGUGCUUGCCUAGCAAGCGCAAGGCCCUGGGUUUAGUCCCCA